rnacentral:rRNA from 1 species
GACGAACGCUGGCGGCGUGCUUAACACAUGCAAGUCGAACGAGGUUUGCGGGAGCGGAGUCUUCGGACAAAGCAACUGCAUAUGCCUAGUGGCGGACGGGUGAGUAACGCGUGAGCAACCUGCCCUUAAGUGGGGGACAACAGUUGGAAACGACUGCUAAUACCGCAUAAGACCACGAUCUCGCAUGGGAUUGAGGUCAAAGGAUUUAUUCGCUUAAGGAUGGGCUCGCGUCCCAUUAGAUAGUUGGUGAGGUAGAAGCUCACCAAGUCGACGAUGGGUAGCCGACCUGAGAGGGUGAGCGGCCACACUGGAACUGAGACACGGUCCAGACUCCUACGGGAGGCAGCAGUGGGGAAUAUUGGGCAAUGGGCGAAAGCCUGACCCAGCAACGCCGCGUGAAGGAAGAAGGCCUUCGGGUUGUAAACUUUUGUCCUUGGGGACGAAACAAAUGACGGUACCUGAGGAGGAAGCCCCGGCUAACUACGUGCCAGCCGCCGCAGUAAAAC